CUCUGCAGCCAAGUAUUAAUAACACAAGCGUACAAACCAGUUUCUCUCUCCUCUCCUCUCUCUCUCACUCUCUCUCUCUCUCUCUCUUCCCCUUUAUUCUAAUUCUUUCCCUACUCUCUAUUCUGUCUGUGACAUUUCUCUUAAUUCCUAGUACGAUUAGGUAUUGAUUCUCAUAAAAUCUGUCUUCGACUCUCUCUUCCAUUCCAUGCCCUCUCUUUCUGUGACUUGUGGAGGAGGAAUUCUCAUUUGCUAGUCUUUCCAAGAACCACUCCGACGACCUGGUUUCUCUCUCUCUCGCGUCCUCUCUCAUCAGGGAAAGAAAACUAUAGUACACGAUGCUAAAGAAUAUGAUGGAAGAGAAGCAGUUAGAUCUUAAUCAGCCACUUCUGUCUGUGAGACGAUUUUCACCUACAGCAGUCACCUUCGAAGCUGAUGACAAAAGGAAGACUGAUAAGUCAAUACCCAAACUUCCUCCUCUUCCCUUUUACAAAUCAGAACUGAAAUCAGGUCCAGUGGGGCACCCAGGUACUGUUCCUUUUGUAUGGGAGAAAGUCCCGGGAAGACCCAAGGAUGAAAGAAAUUCACAAACUCGGGGUCUUGAACAGCCUCCCACUACGCCAAGGCUUCCACCUGGAAGGGUUUUGAAUGCUAAGAAGCAAGCAUUGGAUAAAUGUUCUAAACGCACUACAACUGCUCAGUCCCCAACUGGAAAUGUACAUUCUGAUUUUAACAAUGUUUCAACCUUUGAUACAAAAGAAGUUACCAAGUGUGACAGCCUUAAAGAGGGGAUGGAUGAUAAGGAUAUUGCUGAUUCAGAGGAUGGUGAUGAGACCUAUUUAGAUGCACCUGACACACUUUCGAGGAGUGAAUCAUUCUAUUAUAACUGUAGUAUAAGUGGUUUGAGUGGACUGGACGGUCCAGAUGCCAAACCAUGUGGAACCUUCUCAACAGAUCCACAGACUCGUGACUUCAUGAUGGGUCGGUUCUUGCCUGCAGCAAAAGCAAUGGUUUCAGACACACCUCAAUAUGCUACCAGGAAGCAACCAGUUGCACGAGAGCAAGCAAUUUCUCAAGAGCAACCAAGAGGGAUGAAGAAGGUAGCGAGCGGGGUUAAGCAACAUCCACUUAAUCAAUAUAGGCCAAAUGAUUUGCCACAUAAUGUUCAAGAUAUAGCUGGGGCAAAAGUGAGAAUGAAGGUAUGAGAGGGCAACCGCAAUCACCCAUUUCUUCAGUUAGUAGACUGCGAGCUAAAUCUUCCUAUGCCAGUGCUUACAGAGAAGCUAAAAACGAGCAUUCUGGGGGUGAUGGACAUCAGGAAGCUGGGAUGCCUGAAGAUAGGAAUGAUUUGAAAUGUGAAUCCAACCAGAUCAAAAUAAGCGAAUGUCAGAAAUUAGAUGGGUCACCUGUAUAUAGGCGUCAGCAGGGUAGUAACAUAUCACCCUAUCGAAAGGAAUGCUUUCAUCAUGAAGAAAAAGGUUUUCUUGGUCUUCCUGAAAAAGCGAAGAAUUCCAGAGAUACUAUUAGCUCUGGAAAGUAUCGAAAAGGCCACAACAAUUUUAGGGAAUUAUUGGCCACUGAGAAUGUUACUCAAUGGGAAAUGGGCCCAGGGAGUCCUGUAUUUGAGAAGAAUCUGUAUAUUGAUUUUGUGCAUACUGUAAAAUCUCCGAAGUCGAAGUCACAUUCCUCAGAUACAAAGGGCCAUAUUAUUCAGUACAGAGGGAAUGAUAUUGAAAUUCCUGAGAAAAGUAAUGAAGUGAAAGAAACCCCUUCGGCAGAGUUUUCAUUCCAAGAUAUUGAGUGCUUGGGUGAUGGAAAUGAAAAGGCAAUAGUGCCAUUUCAAAGUUUGGAGUCUCCUGACUCCAGCUUUCUAUCUUGGUCUGGCAGAUCCAAGAAGGAUGAUCAAACAGACAUGAGAAAUGGUUUUUUAUCGGGUCAGGAUUCUAGCAAAUUCGCAAGCUCAAAAGUGGCUGAACAAGAAAGGUGUAACUUGAAAAGCCAACAUUUAGAGAAAUCAGUUCAUUGGGAAAAUUUUAAUGGGCUUACUCAGGAUUGUAUUACAUUGACAAGGGCGAAACUGAAUGAUGAGAAAAAGAGUGAUUUAAAAAGCCAACAGUCUAGAAAAUCAGGAACAGAAGAAAGUUCCCGUAGCCAUGUUCAGAAGUCUAUUACAUUGACCAGCUCAAAAGUGGCCAAUGGAGGAAAGAUUGAUUUAGAAAGUCAACGACUUGUGAAAUUUGGUAAUCAAGAAAGUUCCAAGGGCCACAAUUCACGACUGCCUCUUGGACCACCUUUACCGAAAUCUCCAUCAGAGUCUUGGCUAAAGCAUACCUUACCUAGUAUUUCCUCGAGGAGCUCAUCUUCACAGUGUUCUUCUGGUUCACAGAUUUAUGCUAGCAGCCAGCCUUCGAAGACGUCCUCUCUUGGUCCCAAAUGGGAGACAAUUGUUAAAACUUCUAACAAGCACCAUGGACAUCUGCGGUUUUCAGAGGAGCUUCUGACACCUAUACCGGAAGCUUAGAAGUCGGAUGUUUAUCUGAAGCUCACCAGCUUACGUGAAUAUCCACUCUUUCUAUGGGUGUAAAGUGUUCCUAAGAAACUGUUGCAAAAGUGAACCAUUUAUCACAUCAGUGGAGUUGCCGUUGCUAUAUGUGAUGUCUCUGAUAUUCAACAGGGAAUAGUGAUGGUUUUGGGUCAAUCGGCCGUGCACGAAUGGGCUGCUCAUAAAGCACCAACGGCUGGAAGCCGUACACAGGCAACUGUACCAAGUCAACUCCUUACUGGAAAAAGAUUGUGGCACAUCUCAUUAGUUAUUGUUAAGUUGUGUGUGGUGUAACUGCUGUUAAUAUUAAUUUGUUCUGCCAGGCGAAUGGUACCAUCUUUACCUCAUAUUGGUUUUUCAUGCUUUUGCUGAAUAUUGACUUCCUGAACUGCUCAGAACUCCUUUGAACUCUCUUUGCUUGCAAAUUAAAAGUUUGCAGGUUGCUAUUAUAGGGGAGUUCUUGUCAGCUGCCUUGCUGCCACUGGAACCACUAGCUGUACGUGUUGCUGCUCAAUGAAUUUUCUGUACUGUUUCAUAUCUAUGUCCUAUAUAUCUAAUCUGCUAUGUCCUAUAAAUCUGUAUUCUUCGGUUGGAUCUCGAUAAGCAGCUCAGAACUUCACCCGUCCCAAAUUUAAAAAAAUUAUAUUUCUUUCAAACCUCCUUACAUUACAUGAUUUCCAUUGAGUUAAAGAAAAGUAGUUUUGUGACUGGCCUACUAGAGUUCUAUUCUGACAUGGUUAUACGUAUACUGGAUACUUUGUAUGUAACUACAUAUAACACAGGAAUUGUGCACUUUUUAAGAGAAAGUAAGGAUUGUACCGUUUUCGUAUGUGAUUCCACUGGUGUAUCUGAUUCGAUCCUGAUCCUUUUUGGUGGUGCAUUGAACCAUGGAGUCCAGGUUGGGCAUUUGAGAAUGUUGGACGGUUGUAUCGAUUUCUUCCUGGAUCCUAGGUUGGUGGACUGCUAAAGGAAGAAGUUAAUGAGCUUAUUCAAAAGAAGCUUGCAGAUCCUAGCCUUGAUAUCGACAAGGAAGGGAAGUACCUUAUGCUUGCUAUUCAAGAGCUGGUAUCUGGAGAUCAAUAUGAAGGGAGAUUUGUAUUUGGUCGUGACUGCAGGAAGCCAAAGGAGUCUGGUGAUAACAGCAGAUUCACUAAAGACGGGACCAAUCCCAUGAGUUUGCCUCAAACUCUGUUGAUGAAAGCAGGACACUGCUCCAAAAUACAAAACAAAGCACCUUGAGACGAACGAGUUGAGAGGACUGGUGGAGUGCAAGGGCAUGUAAUUUGUUGGGAAACCUAAGAAAAAUAAGCAGCUUGCAGAAAGGGAUGCUGCUAUAUAAGCACUGGCUUGGUUGACUCACACAUCAGACAACAAUUGUGAUGAAGAAGACAACUCCCCGCCUGAUGGCACUGACAAGAUGCUAAAACUCCUCGGAAAUGUAGAAGAUCAAAAUGGCAGUCUGGUUGAAUGUGAUUACAGAUGUAAAAGAUGAAGCUGCUUCCAUCUGGUGGUUGAGGACGCUGUAAGCCAUAUCUCCCUAGGACACAUGGGGCGCGUUGCAUACAUUCAGCUUGUUGGUACGUAGUUUUGGUAGAGUGGGCUAGUAUAUAUACAAAUCUUUUCCUUGUGUUUGCAGGGGUGUCAUAGAUGGUCGAAGCCGUCUGGAUUGUAUCUUGGCAGCCGGUGACACUAGUCACUGAGUCUGCUAAGUUAUGCAAAGGGGUGUGUGGAUAGCACCACCCUAAAACUAUUUACAACGAUUGUUCUUGUAAACUUGUUAGAUAUCUCGGGUUGCACGAUUUCUUGUAAUUUGUAGCUAAUUCUAUUAAAUCUAUUACCAAUUUCAAUCCAAUCAUCUAUGGUCAGACAAGGCCCGGCCGUAGAUUGAUUUUUCAA